UACAUAGGUGGCAAGCGUUAUCCGGAUUUAUUGGGCGUAAAGCGUGCGUAGACGGUUCUGCAAGUCUGAGGUUAAAUUUAGGGGCUUAACUCCUAACCGCCUUGGAAACUACAGUACUAGAGUAUAGGAGAGGUUAGUGGAAUUUCAUGUGUAGCGGUGGAAUGCGUAGAUAUAUGAAGGAACACCAGUGGCGAAGGCGGCUAACUGGCCUAUUACUGACGUUGUGGCACGAAAGCGUGGGGAGCAAAUAG
rnacentral:rRNA from 1 species